CAUUCAGUCUCUCUUGCUUCUUCCUCUGCAAUUCGGCUUCAUAGUUUCUCAGUCUUUCAUUCAUUCUCUCCUUGAAUCUAAUUAUAAG